GGGUCAUUAGCUCAAUUGGUAGAGCAGCGGAUUCUUAAUCCGUUGGCUUCAGGUUCAAGUCCUGAAUGACCCACCA
rnacentral:tRNA from 2 species